GCAGCUGUACCCUCACGUUCAGGUGGGACUCCAGUCAAUCUCGCGGAUCGACGAGUUCCUCGCAUCGUAACUCUCUCUGGCAACAACACAUAACAGAACACAUAAGCAACACAUAGAGGAAAACAACACAUGCAUCAUGGCAGUGCACAACAUCAACAGAUAAACAGGACUAACAUCCUAUCCUAGUGGACAUGUUUUCCUA
rnacentral:lncRNA from 1 species